UUACGGCCGUAUCACGUUGAAACAUCGGUUCUCAUCAGAUCACCAAAGUUAAGCAACGUCACGUACCUAGAUGGGUGAUCGCUUGGGAAUGCCAGGUGCUGUAC